CCUACGGGUGGCAGCAGUGGGGAAUAUUGCGCAAUGGGCGAAAGCCUGACGCAGCGACGCCGCGUGAGGGAUGAAGGUCUUCGGAUCGUAAACCUCUGUCAGCAGGGAAGAACGGUCACUGUGUUAAUCAGCAGUGAAUUGACGGUACCUGCAAAGGCAGCACCGGCUAACUCCGUGCCAGCAGCCGCGGUAAUACGGAGGGUGCGUGCGUUAAUCGGAAUUACUGGGCGUAAGGCGCUCGUAGGCGGUAUGUCAAGUCAAGGGUGAAAUCCCCGCGCUCAACGUGGGAACUGCCUUUGAAACUGGCAAACUGGAGUGUGUGAGAGGAUAGUGGAAUUCCAGGUGUAGGAGUGAAAGCCGUAGAUAUCUGGAGGAACAUCAGUGGCGAAGGCGACUAUCUGGCACAUAACUGACGCUGAGGAGCGAAAGCGUGGGUAGCAAACAGGAUUAGAUACCCUAGUAGUC
rnacentral:rRNA from 1 species